rnacentral:rRNA from 1 species
AUUGAACGCUGGCGGCAUGCUUUACACAUGCAAGUCGAACGGUAACAGGCCUUCGGGUGCUGACGAGUGGCGAACGGGUGAGUAAUGCAUCGGAACGUGCCCAGAGGUGGGGGAUAACGCAGCGAAAGCUGUGCUAAUACCGCAUGUGAUCUGAGGAUGAAAGCGGGGGACCAGGCAGCAAUGUUUGGCCUCGCGCCUUUGGAGCGGCCGAUGUCAGAUUAGGUAGUUGGUGGGGUAAAGGCCUACCAAGCCGACGAUCUGUAGCUGGUCUGAGAGGACGACACGCCCCACUGGGCCUGAACCACCCCCCAGCCCCCGCCGGGGGCCAGAGGGGGGAAUUUUGGGAAAAGGCGCGCAACCUGGAUCCACAACUCCCGCGGGGGGAAAGAGCCCUUUCGGGUUAAAAACCCUUUUUGUACGAAACAAAAAGUCUCUGCCUAAUACCGGGGGCUGAGCACGCUCCCUAAAAAAUAACCCCCGCCUACCUCCUUC